AUAUUUACCUGGCAGGGGAGAUACCCUGAUCAUGGACGUGGCUUUCCCAGGGCAAUGCUUGACCAGCGAUUUCCGGCGCAGUCUGUGGUAGGAGGGCACCGGUUCGCGCUUUCCCCGA
ensembl:snRNA U1 U1 spliceosomal RNA